rnacentral:misc_RNA from 1 species
CCAAUAGCGUAUAUUAAAGUUGUUGCAGUUAAAAAGCUCGUAGUUGAAUUUCGGGGUUAGUAAGUUGGUUGUGCCACUGGUAUGUACUGGCUUUACUGAUUCCUCCUUCUUGUAGAACCGUAAUGCCAUUAAGUUGGUGUUGCGGGGAAACAGGACUGUUACUUUGAAAAAAUUAGAGUGUUUAAAGCAAGCUAACGCUUGAAUACAUUAGCAUGGAAUAAUGAAAUAGGACGUUCGAUCCUAUUUUGUUGGUUUCUAGGAUUGACGUAAUGAUUAAUAGGGAUAGUUGGGGGCAUUAGUAUUCAAUUGUCAAAGGUGAAAUUCUUGGAUUUAUUGAAGACUAACUACUGCGAAAGCAUUUGCCAAGGAUGUUUUCAUUAAUCAAGAACGAAAGUUAGGGGAUCGAAGACGAUCAGAUACCGUCGUAGUCUUAACCAUAAACUAUGCCGACUAGGGAUCGGAUGAUGUUAAUUUUAUAAUGACUCAUUCGGCGCCUUACG